UCUCUUCUUUAUUUUCUUUUCUCUCUGUGACCUACAGACCCCACCUCCCGUCUCCUUCCUCGCGACGGACUCCGCCUCCGCCUCCGCCGCCGCCACCGACUCGAACUCUCGGAGCUCCCCUGGUACGAAACCCACAAGACCCCUCGAGAUCGAGCCACUCGACCGCGCUGAUUUCCGCCCGUCUCGGUGACUCCAUCGACGAAUUUCUUCGCCAAACGGUGAGCCCCUCGACUCACCGCGACCACUCUUCGCCUUGAUCUGCCACACCUUUCUCACCUAUUCCCUUGCUCCGGAUAACACCAGGACGCGCUAUUCGAGCCCCACCAUGCUCCGGCCGAGCUCUAUCACCGCAAGACGGAGCCCCCACAUCAUCAAGGAGGAUCCCUUAGAGAUUGCUGAGGCACGACGCACCUCGUGGACUACUUCCCGGAGCAAGAAGACCCCAGGAACCGACCCCGUACCCAUCUAUUCCGGUGACCUCCGCUGCCUAACCCAGGUGAGAUCCGAAACCCUAGCUCCAUUAUAACACCAGCCUUCCAAUCUGACUAAAACCAAUGGCCCAGAUCCAUCCAUGUUACUGCAUUCUGAGAUGGCAUACGUGACAUGGCUGAUGGAUCAAUCCCAAGAGAUUUUGUUUUUCAUGUUGGCUCACCUUCUCACACGCGUGUACAUCCGUGAGUGAAUUUGGUUAUUUAGAACAAAAUCUGAGAGUUGACGUAAUGGAAUUGUUGUUUUCUGUGAACUGAAUGACACACAUAUACAUAUUGCCUCGUCGUAAUUCUGUUGCCUAUCCCAACCGCAUGUGCUCCUGAAUAUGUGGAACAUAUCUAGCUGGAUAUUGUGCACCCUUUAAAUUCAUAAUAGAUCAACCAUAUGUGGAAUAGCCACCACGCUAGGGUUUGGACUCUAAUAGAUGGUCACAAUUUGGUUAACAAGGUGCUAUGGGUCGAUGGAUUGCUAUAGAUCCUGUGAUGGGCUGGUUCAUGUGAAUUUGUCUCAUAAUUGGGCAAUUGGUCCUCUGGUUGAUACUGCUCGUACUGCUCUAAUCAGGUUGGUUAUGUUGCUCUUCUGGGUUUAGGAUGUCUAGCUGAGCCAUUGAGCCAGUUACCAUUGCUCUAAUCAUAUUAAGCAUAUAACAUAACUACGAACAAUUCUCUUCUGAUGUAGGUGGUCUGUGUUCAUCUCUAGUCCAUGUGUGCGUGAUGUGCUCAUGUGAGCAGGACAUUAUCAAGUGUAUGUGUGUUGCAAAUGUGCUCUGCACAUUAGCAGAUCAUGUUGAUGUACAUGACUUCAGUUCUUAUAAGUUGAUUUUCUUAUCUCUGCUAAGGAAUUCUUCUUGUACGUGUUUCAGCUUUUGAUGUUCUGCGCACUGACCGAUCGAUGCCCUUCUAUGAGAAGAAAGAAAAACGACCCAUUCCUAGCUGUGUACGAGUGUAUUGACAAACAAGUUGGUUAUUGUCAAGGUGGCUUGCUGCCUCCUAUUUGCAUAGAAUGCUUAUUUAUUACUGUAAUUAGGUCGUCGUUGUUGUUGUUGUACCUUACCUCAACUAGGCCAUCCCAUGUUUUUUUCUCCAUCCCAUGUUUUCUCCAAGCUUGAGUCCAUGAUUUCUUGUUUUCUUUUUCGAUUUGACCUCAUGAUUAUCUUGUUAUUUCUUUUGUGCUUCUUGUGCGGCAGGAUUCGAUUUGGUACAACAUCAUCACCGAUGCAGACAAGAAGUGCUUCAUCGUGCCAGGCACCUUGGCGUUGCUUUCGUCUGACGGCGACCGCGGCUACAGAAACAAUCACAAUGAACUCCUCUCCUUGCCUCCGGUGCUUGCUCUGUGCUCGUCGUAGCCAUCAUGCCAUGGCUGUCUGGUUAGGCUGCUACAUUAUAUCCUUGCUACUGUUUGUUUGUUCUUUUCUCUGCCUUGUGAUUAGCAUGCUGCUAGUAGCCCCCGCGUGAUAGUAACUUGCUGAAUAUAUGUCUUUGAGUAGCAACUUAUAGAAUAUAUAUAGCUCAUGUUCAUGUUUUCCCAUCCCACCAAGUCUGAAACACUUCUUCGCACUCAACAACCAGGCAGCACACCUGAAUAUAUAUACACAUAUGUACGUAGUUUCCCAUAACACAUGGAGCAGCCUUGUUCGUUUCGGGAUGUAGUAUCACCACUUAAUUUAUUCCCUGCCUGCCACCUUCAUGAAAUUCCGACUGUAUAUAUGUAGUUUGUGUACCGUCCAUGAUAUGCACUUGCAUAUAUACUCAACUCAUGUUGGUCUUGUGCUAUUUCCAAGGAUGCCUUCCUACUCGUGCUAGUUUUAAGUCAUGUGGCCUUGCUUCCAGGAUGAUGAUAUUCCAACUAUAUGGUUGUGGUAUGUUGCACUCUUUUGACACUAUUUUAUAUCACUACAAUUGUUUAGACAAACAUGGAGAUGCUGUGAGUUUGCUUUUCCCAGUAUGUCUUACCCAUGUAGUAUGUAGAACGCUUCAUUCUAUUAAGAAAGGCAUUUUUGAUAGUGUCAUGAUAAGAAGUCGUCUUGAGAAGAGUGGCGCCAGAAUAAGGUAAAUAGGCGGAAGCAUGUGAGCACCAUAGUAGGUUGAGCUGAAGGUGGUGCAUUACGAGGAAGGAGGCAUCACAGUCAAGGGAGAUGGCGCAUCAGAAGAAUCCACAACACACAGACGACCAAUUUGGUAAAGAAGAGGAUGAGGCGGAAUCACCGGAGAAAACUCAGUGGACAAUCGAGGUGAGGUAGCCUCGGACAAUGGAGUCGUGGGUGACAACGACAUGGGUCAACAAUAGUAAUACAAGACACGUGGGUGGACUGGGAUAAUUCAUGAAUCAUAGAUGUAUCGGGAAGAGUGAGGAAAUAAAUAUCUUCAAUGGAGGAUGGACGUGGAUAGCAAGGAUGAAACUCAUCAAAAGUGACAUCUUGAGAAAUGUGCAUCCGAUGGCUGACAAGAUCCCAACACCAAUAGUCCUUGUGCUCAUCACUAUAACAUAAGAAGACACAUUCAACACACUAAACGGUUUGGUGUGUUCAUUGGGGCAAGAAGAAUGUACAAAUGCAACCAAACAAAGGAAGCUAGAGUUGUCACGAGAAUGAUCGAAAAGACACACGAGAGAAAUGUCACCCUGCAGAGCAAUGGAAGGCGGAAUGUUGAUGAGAUAGGCGGUAGUAGACACAACCUCAACCCAGAAGUGAGGUGAAAGGGAGUUGACGAUCAUCAACACAUGAGCCACUCUGAGCACCAAGACAAGAGAAUUGAGCAAGUGUGCCCUGCUCAGCAAGGAAUCAACAUAGCGAAUGAGACAUAUACUGUUGAGCAAAAUCUGCAUGGAAGACACGGAUAGGAGUGGAAAACUUAGUAUGAACCAUGGCACCAAUUUCUUACAAAGAGAUCAGACCUCACUACAAGAAGACAUAAUAUAUUCUGUGUGCCGAGAGAAAUCAUCUAUAAAUAUAAUAUAUUAGCGAUGACCUCCUUUUGAGGCAAAGGGAGCUAGACCCCAUACAUCAGAGUGAACAAUACCGGAAGGACGAUGAGACACCGUCUUGCUAACUUGUUUACCAAGCUAACAAACUUGACAUUCUAAAUCUUCACCACCAGAGACAGAUCCAAGAAGACCACGUUGAAACUAAAGAUGAGAGAUGAGAGCCACAAAGGGCCGGUUCUUGAGGCAAUAGAGGCGAAGAGAUUUGCGGUGGUGGCCUUGGGAGUCACAACGCUGAGGGCCAACACCAAGUAGAGCACCCGUGUGAUGAUCCUAAUCAAAACAAUUUUCAAAGUCAAGAAUGACUAUACCAAGAGUCAACAAUCUAAUCACCUGAAAUGGACUACAUGGUAAGUCAAGGAGCAUGAGCAAAAGAAGGAACAUAACAAGGCAAACUGCUAAGAGUGCCUCGGCUAUUGACCAAGAGGGAAGUACCAUCAGCAGUAACAACAUGAACAUGAGAAUCCAGAGGUUUGAAUGGAGAGGAUAAACUGGAAGAAUCAUGAGUCAUAUGAAAAGACACUCCAAUACCAAGGAUCCACAGAAACAUAUCCGGAUAUAAAAAGUAGUCUCAGUACCAAAAGAAUAAUUAACAAAACCUAUAAAACUAUUAAUGGCGAACCAAAAGAAGCAUCUAGCGGGAGAAGUAUGUCAGG
rnacentral:lncRNA from 1 species